UGGCCCAGACUAUUCCUCAGUGUGUCA
rnacentral:piRNA from 1 species